rnacentral:lncRNA from 1 species
AUGGUUUCGGUUUCCUCCUCUCCGCCUCGUCGGAUCGUUGUGCCUGCACCAACCUGCCCAGCUCCAUGGUUGUUUCCCUGGGAGGAUUUCCUGCUCUCACGCGGUCCUCAGUCUCCAGUUCAGCCGCGCGCUGCUCAGUCGCCAGUUCAGCCGUGCGCUGCUCAGUCUCCAAGUCAGCCGCGCGCUGCUCAGUCUCCAGUUCAGCCGCGCGCUGCUCAGUCUCCAAGUCAGCCGCGCGCUGCUCAGUCUCCAGUUCAGCCGCGCGCUGCUCAGUCUCCAAGUCAGCCGCGCGCUGCUCAGUCUCCAGUUCAGCCGCGCGCUGCUCAGUCUCCAGUUCAGCCGCGCGCUGCUCAGUCCCCAGUUCAGCCGCGCGCGGUUCAAUCUCCAGUUCAGUCGUGUUUUCCCCAGUCUCCAGCCCAAGCUCCAGACGCCGCGGUCCCGGUUCACCAUGCGGGUCCCGGUACAGAGGUCCGGUCCACACCGCUCCCAGCGCCCCAAACGACGGACAGUCGCAGCUGCUCCGGACGGCGCCGGCGGCGGCGCGGUUCCAGGAUUCCGGGUCCCGCGGUCUCGGUCAUCGGGACCGAGCAGUCUCCUUCUCCGACAGAGGAGCCCCUUGAUUCUCUAACUGACUGUGUCUCUCUGAUAGCGGGCAUCCCAGACAGCGUCGCCCGACGGGUCCACCUCCUCUGCUCUCCUCCGGUGGCGUUUCUCUUCGCCCACCUCAUGAACACCGCCGAUUCGGCGGCAGACCAGGGCGCGAGAGAACAACUGUUCCAGGAAGCAGCCGCUCUCGUCCUGAGGGAGCCUGUCCUGCGUGAGGCCCUGCAACUCCCGGGCCUGCAGCCAGCGGCCGCUUCAUGUCCCACCUCUCAGUCAGGUCAGCCUCGCCAUGCUCAUGCCCUGGUGCAGCCCUGUCGCCUCCAGGCCCCAGCCCAGUCGAACCUAGUCCAGACCCCAGAUCAGCCGUGUGUUGCCCAGACCCCAGAUCAGCCGUGUGUCACCCAGACCCCAGAUCAGCCGUGUGUCGCCCAGACCCCAGAUCAGCCGUGUGUCGCCCAGACCCCAGAUCAGCCGUGUGUCGCCCAGACCCCAGAUCAGCCGUGUGUCGCCCAGACCCCAGAUCAGCCGUGUGUCGCCCAGACCCCAGAUCAGUCGUGUGUUGCCCAGACCCCAGUUCCGUCCUUGUCCCCGUCAGAGGGCACCGCCCGUCUGACGAUUGUUAACCCCACCCAAUCAGGCCCGACGUCUUCCCCGUCGAGCUCGGCAGCUGUAAGCUGUCAUGCCAGCUCCGGAGUUGACGCCGUUCCAGUCCCUGUCGGCCAUGUUGCGGCCGUUCCAGUCCCUGUCGGCCAUGUUGCGGCCGUUCCAGCUCCUGUCGGCUCCUCAGAGGAGGACGCCGUUCUAGUUCCUGUCGGCUCCUCAGAGGAGGACGCCGUUCCUGUUCCCGUCGGCCAUAUUGAGGCCGUUCUAGUUCCAGUUCCUGUCGGCUCCUCAGAGGAGGACGCCGUUCCUGUUCCCGUCGGCCAUAUUGAGGCCGUUCUAGUUCCAGUUCCUGUCGGCUCCUCAGAGGAGGACGCCGUUCCUGUUCCCGUCGGCCAUAUUGAGGCCGUUCUAGUUCCAGUUCCUGUCGGCUCCUCAGAGGAGGACGCCGUUCUAGUUCCUGUCGGCCACGUAGAGGUCGUUCCAGUUCCUGUCGGCCAUGUUGAGGUCGUUCCUGUUCCUGUCGGCCCUGUAGAGGCCGUUCCAGUUCCUGUCGGCCAUGUUGAGGUCGUUCCAGUUCCUGUCGGCCAUGUUGAGGUCGUUCCAGUUUCUGUCGGCCAUGUUGAGGUCGUUCCAGUUCCUGUCGGCCAUGCUGAGGUCGUUCCAGUUCCUGUCGGCCAUGCUGAGGUCGUUCCAGUUCCUGUCGGCCAUGUUGAGGUCGUUCCAGUUCCUGUUCCUGUCGGCCAUGUUGAGGUCGUUCCUGUCCCUGUCGACCAAAUUGAGGUCGUUCCAGUUCCUGUCCCUGUCGGCCAUGUCGAGGUCGUUCCAGUUCCUGUCCCUGUCGGCCAUGUCGAGGUCGUUCCAGUUCCUGUCCCUGUCGACCAAAUUGAGGUCGUUCCAGUUCCUGUUCCUGUCGGCCAAGUUGAGGGCGUUCCCGUAGGCCAAGUUGAGGGCGUUCCCGUAGGCCAAGUUGAGGGCGUUCCCGUAGGCCAAGUUGAGGGCGUUCCCGUAGGCCAAGUUGAGGGCGUUCCCGUAGGCCAAGUUGAGGGCGUUCCCGUAGGCCAAGUAGAGGUCACCCCUGUCUCUGACCCCGUUCCUGCCGACCCUGUAGCGGUCGUUCCAGUCCCCGUUCCUGCCGGCCCUGUAGCGGUCGUUCCAGUCCCCGUUCCUGUCGACCCUGUAGCGGUCGUUCCAGUCCCCGUUCCUGUCGACCCUGUAGCGGUCGUUCCAGUCCCCGUUCCUGUCGACCCUGUAGCGGUCGUUCCAGUCCCCGUUCCUGUCGGCCCUGUAGCGGUCGUUCCAGUCCCCGUCACCCGUGGAGCCGUAGCGCCCGCCGGCCCCCAGGAGGAGGUCGCGCUAGUCGCAGUUCCUGCGCACCUCCAGGAGGAGGUCGCGCCAGCCGCAGUUCCUGCGCACCUCCAGGAGGAGGUCGCGCCAGUCGCAGUUCCUGCGCACCUCCAGGAGGAGGUCGCGCCAGCCGCAGUUCCUGCGCGCCUCCAGGAGGAGGUCGCGCCAGCCGCAGUUCCUGCGCGCCUCCAGGAGGAGGUCGCGCCAGCCGCAGUUCCUGCGCGCCUCCAGGAGGAGGUCGCGCCAGCCGCAGUUCCUGCGCGCCUCCAGGAGGAGGUCGCGCCAGCCGCAGUUCCUGCGCGCCUCCAGGAGGAGGUCGCGCCAGUCGCAGUUCCUGCGCGCUUCCAGGAGGAGGUCGCGCCAGCCGCAGUUCCUGCGCGCCUCCAGGAGGAGGUCGCGCCAGCUGCAGUUCCUGCGCGCCUCCAGGAGGAGGUCGCGCCAGCCGCAGUUCCUGCGCGCCUCCAGGAGGAGGUCGCGCCAGCCGCAGUUCCUGCGCGCCUCCAGGAGGAGGUCGCGCCAGCCGCAGUUCCUGCGCGCCUCCAGGAGGAGGCCGCGCCAGCCGCAGUUCCUGCGCGCCUCCAGGAGGAGGCCGCGCCAGCCGCAGUCCCGGCGGAUCCCCAGGAGGGGGUCGCGUCAGCCGCAGUCCCGGCGGAUCCCCAGGAGGGGGUCGCGCCCGUCGCAGUUCCUGCCGAACCCCAGGAGGGGGUCGCUCCCGUCGUAGUUCCUGCCGACCUCCAGGAGGGGGUCGCUCCCGCCGUAGUUCCUGCCGACCUCCAGGAGGGGGUCGCUCCCGUCGUAGUUCCUGCCGACCUCCAGGAGGGGGUCGCUCCCGUCGUAGUUCCUGCCGACCUCCAGGAGGGGGUCGCUCCCGCCGUAGUUCCUGCCGACCUCCAGGAGGGGGUCGCUCCCGCCGUAGUUCCUGCCGACCUCCAGGAGGGGGUCGCUCCCGUCGUAGUUCCUGCCGACCCCCAGGAGGGGGUCGCUCCCGUCGUAGUUCCUGCCGACCCCCAGGAGGGGGUCGCUCCCGUCGUAGUUCCUGCGGACCCCCAGGAGGGGGUCGCUCCCGUCGUAGUUCCUGCCGACCUCCAGGAGGGGGUCGCUCCCGUCGUAGUUCCUGCCGACCUCCAGGAGGGGGUCGCUCCCGUCCCGGCUCCGGCCGCACCGGCAUCGGUUCCUGGCGGCCCGGUUCCGGCUGCGCCUGCAUCGGUUCCUGCCUCUCGCCGCGGUGGGCCAAGGAGGACGCCGCUGGUCCCUGCCUCGUCCUCGUCUCGGCCGCCGGACUGGUGGUCUUGCCCUCGGCGCCUCCUGCUGCCCGGAUGGCGCUGCCUCCUGCGGCGACGUCCGCCUCGACUCCUCAGCCCAUUGGAUCAGCGUCCGCCUGGAGGACGUUGCCAUUCGGGGUGGCUCCCGGGGACAUCGGUCCAGCCCAAGGGCACUAAGAGUGCCACCCUGGCUCAGCGGCUGCUGAGCAGGGUCUCGCCACGCCGUCACCCUCCGUGA